CAUGAUCUAGCAAUAGAUUGAUGGCGACCGGCGCACGGGUGAGUAACACGUAUCCAACCUGCCGAUAACUCGGGGAUAGCCUUUCGAAAGAAAGAUUAAUACCGGAUAGUAUAGCAAUAUCGCAUGUUUUUGUUAUUAAAGAAUUUCGGUUAUCGAUGGGGAUGCGUUCCAUUAGUUUGUUGGCGGGGUAACGGCCCACCAAGACUUCGAUGGAUAGGGGUUCUGAGAGGAAGGUCCCCCACAUUGGAACUGAGACACGGUCCAAACUCCUACGGGAGGCAGCAGUGAGGAAUAUUGGUCAAUGGACGAGAGUCUGAACCAGCCAAGUAGCGUGAAGGA
rnacentral:rRNA from 1 species